GAUGAAGAACGUAGUGAAAUGCGAUAAGUAAUGUGAAUUGCAGAAUUCAGUGAAUCAUCGAAUCUUUGAACGCACAUUGCGCCCGCUAGUAUUCUGGCGGGCAUGCCUGUUCGAGCGUCAUUUCAACCCUCAAGCUCUGCUUGGUGUUGGGAAUCGGCGUAGCGGCCUUCGGGCAGCUGCCGUUCCCUAAAUCUAGUGGCGGUCCCGCUGUAGCCUCCUCUGCGUAGUAGUUUUCUCCUCGCACCGGCAGCUUAGUGGUGACCUCGCCGUAAAACCCCCACCUUCUGAAAGGUUGACCUCGAAUCAGGUAGGAAUACCCGCUGAACUUAAGCAUAUCAAUAAGCGGAGGA
rnacentral:misc_RNA from 1 species